rnacentral:rRNA from 1 species
UAGGGAAUCUUCGGCAAUGGACGAAAGUCUGACCGAGCAACGCCGCGUGAGUGAAGAAGGUUUUCGGAUCGUAAAACUCUGUUGUUAGAGAAGAACAAGGACGUUAGUAACUGAACGUCCCCGGACGGUAUCUAACCAGAAAGCCACGGCUAACUACGUGCCAGCAGCCGCGGUAAUUCGUAGGUGGCAAGCGUUGUCCGGAUUUAUUGGGCGUAAAGCGAGCGCAGGCGGUUUCUUAAGUCUGAUGUGAAAGCCCCCGGCUCAACCGGGGAGGGUCAUUGGAAACUGGGAGACUUGGGUGCAGAGGAGGGGAGUGGCAUUCCAUGUGUAGCGGUGAAAUGCGUAGAUAUAUGGAGGAACACCAGUGGCGAAGGCGGCUCUCUGGUCUGUAACUGACGCUGAGGCUCGAAGGCGUGGGGAGCAAACAGG